rnacentral:rRNA from 1 species
AACGAACGCUGGCGGCAUGCCUAACACAUGCAAGUCGAACGAGACCUUCGGGUCUAGUGGCGCACGGGUGCGUAACGCGUGGGAACCUGCCCUUAGGUUCGGAAUAACUCCCCUAAAGGGGUGCUAAUACCGGAUAAUGUCUUCGGACCAAAGAUUUAUCGCCUUUGGAUGGGCCCGCGUUGGAUUAGCUAGUUGGUAGGGUAAAAGCCUACCAAGGCGACGAUCCAUAGCUGGUCUGAGAGGAUGAUCAGCCACACUGGGACUGAGACACGGCCCAGACUCCUACGGGAGGCAGCAGUGGGGAAUAUUGGACAAUGGGCGAAAGCCUGAUCCAGCAAUGCCGCGUGAGUGAUGAAGGCCUUAGGGUUGUAAAGCUCUUUUACCCGGGAUGAUAAUGACAGUACCGGGAGAAUAAGCUCCGGCUAACUCCGU